GCUAAAUAGCUAGCUUAACCGUCUAUAUUAACCAAACAAUAUAACUGAAAUAAAAUUGACAAAACACAAAAAAUUAAACCAUUCUUUUACCUUAGUAUGGGAGACAGAAAAGGUUCUAUAUUUUAAGCGAUAGAAAAAGUACCGCAAGGGAAAGCUGAAAGAGAAAUGAAAUAAUUUAUACAAGCACGAAAAAGCAAAGAUUAAAUCUUGUACCUUUUGCAUCAUGAUUUAGUUAGUAAACAUCAAGCAAAGAGACCUUUAGUUUGAAACCCCGAAACCAGAUGAGCUACCCCGAGACAGCCUAUUAGGGCCAACCCGUCUCUGUGGCAAAAGAGUGGGAAGAGCUCCGGGUAGAAGUGAUAGACCUACCGAAUCUGGUGAUAGCUGGUUGCCUAAGAAAUGGAUAGAAGUUCAGCCUCAUUUUACCUCAAAUCAAAAUAUACAAUUAAGAUAUCAGGAGAUACAUAUGAGAGUUAGUUUAAGGAGGUACAGCCCCUUAAACAAAGGAUACAACCUUUUCAGGAGGAAAAAGAUCAUAAUAUAUAAAAUACCCUGUUCUAGUGGGCCCAAAAGCAGCCACCUAAAUAGAAAGCGUCAAAGCUCAGACAGAAAGAAAUUUAUUAUACCGAUAAUAAAUCUUAUUCCCCUAGAUAGUAUUAGGCCAGUUCAUGCCAACAUGAAAGAGAUUAUGCUAAAAUGAGUAACAAGAAGGCUCAGCCCUUCUCCUAGCACAAGUGUAAGCCAAACCGGACUAACCAUUGGCAAUUAACGAACUCAACCAAAGAGAGCAGUGUGAAUUUUUAACCCAAGAAAGAUCCACAACAAGACAUCGUUUUCCCCACACUGGAGUGCCCCAAAGGAAAGACUAAAAGAAAAGGAAGGAACUCGGCAAACAUAAGCCUCGCCUGUUUACCAAAAACAUCGCCUCCUGCAACAUAAGUAAGUAUUGGAGGUCCAGCCUGCCCAGUGACCACAAGUUUAACGGCCGCGGUAUUUUAACCGUGCAAAGGUAGCGCAAUCACUUGUCUUUUAAAUAAAGACCUGUAUGAAUGGCCAAACGAGGGCUUAACUGUCUCCCUCUUCCAGUCAGUGAAAUUGAUUUAUCCGUGCAGAAGCGGGUAUAAUAAUACAAGACGAGAAGACCCUUUGGAGCUUAAGGUACAAAUUUUAAUCGUGUCAAACAACUCAAUAAAAAGUAAAAACCUUACGAAACAUAAAAUAUUACCUUCGGUUGGGGCGACCACGGAGUAGAAAAAAACCUUCAAGUGGAAGGGGAUUUUAAUCCUAAAACCAAGAGAAACAUCUCUAAGCCACAGAACAUCUGACCAAUAAUGAUCCGGUAAUUUAUUGCCGAUCAACGAACCAAGUUACCCUAGGGAUAACAGCGCAAUCCUCUCCCAGAGCCCAUAUCGACGAGAGGGUUUACGACCUCGAUGUUGGACCAGGACACCCUAAUGGUGCAGCCGCUAUUAAGGGUUCGUUUGUUCAACGAUUAAAGUCCUACGUGAUCUGAGUUCAGACCGGAGCAAUCCAGGUCAGUUUCUAUCUGUAACGCUACUUUUCCUAGUACGAAAGGACCGGAAAAAGGGGGCCCAUACCACAAGUAUGCCCCACCUCUAAUUUAUGAAAACAAAUAAAUAAAACAAAGAGAGAGCUAAAAUACCUUAUAACCAAA
rnacentral:rRNA from 1 species